rnacentral:rRNA from 1 species
ACGGAGGGUGCAAGCGUUAUUCGGAUUUAUUGGGCGUAAAGGGCGCGUAGGCGGCUUAUCAGGUCGGAUGUGAAAGCCCGCAGCUUAACUGCGGAAGUGCAUCCGAAACCGGCAGGCUUGAGUAUGGGAGAGGGAAACGGAAUUCCCGGUUGAGCGGUGAAAAGCGUAGAUAUCGGGUGGAACACCUGUGGCGAAAGCGGUUUCCGGUACCAAUACUGACGUGGUUGCGCGAAGGCGCAGGGAUGGAACAG